UAGUGAGUUUGAUCCUGGCUCAGAUUGAACGCUGGCGGCAUGCUUUACACAUGCAAGUCGAACGGCAGCGCGGGGCAACCUGCGCGAGUGGCGGAACGGGUGAGUAAUAUAUCGGAACGUACCCAAGAUGGGGGAUAACGUAGCGGAAAGUUACGCUAAUACCGCAUACGAUCUAAGGAUGAAAGCAAGGGGACCGCAAGGCCUUGUGCUCCUGGAGCGGCCGAUAUCUGAUUAGCUAGUUGGUGAGGUAAAGGCUCACCAAGGCCACGAUCAGUAGCUGGUCUGAGA
rnacentral:rRNA from 1 species